CAGUAGCCGCGGGAAUACGAAGGGGGCUAGCGUUGCUCGGAUUUACUGGGCGUAAAGGGCGCGUAGGCGGACAUUUAAGUCGGGGGUGAAAGCCCGGGGCUCAACCUCGGAAUUGCCUUCGAUACUGGCUGUCUUGAGUACGGGAGAGGUGUGUGGAACUCCGAGUGUAGAGGUGAAAUUCGUAGAUAUUCGGAAGAACACCAGUGGCGAAGGCGACACACUGGCCCGUUACUGACGCUGAGGCGCGAAAGCGUGGGGAGCAAACAGGAUUAGAUACCCGCGUAGUCCCUGUCUCUUAUAC
rnacentral:rRNA from 1 species